rnacentral:rRNA from 1 species
UGUACUGCAGUGGCAUGAGGAGCGGUGAUACAGGGGGGGUGAGGGUUAAUCGGAUUUAAUGGGCGUAAAGCGCGCGGAGGUGGCUAAUUAAGUCAAAUGUGAAAUGCCCGAGCUUAACUUGUGAAUUGCAUUCGAUACUGGUUGGCUAGAGUAUGGGAGAGGAUGGUAGAAUUCCAGGUGUAGCGGUGAAAUGCGUAGAGAUCUGGAGGAAUACCGAUGGCGAAGGCAGCCAUCUGGCCUAAUACUGACACUGAGGUACGAAAGCAUGGGGAGCAAACAGGAUUAGAUACCCGGGUAGUC